CCCCCUCCCCCUUUUUUUUUUUUUUUUUAAUCGAGCAAAAAUAUCAUUAUUUUCGCUUAUAUUCAGCUCUCUGUAUGCUAUUUAUCACUUCAAAUGCAAGGAAUACUAUCAAAUACCAGUUUCUAAAAUUUGGGGUUUCUGAUAUAUGUAUAGGCGGAAAGGUAAGUCACUCAGGUUUGUUUACAUUGAGGUACUGCUCGGGAUAUUUCUUGAAAUUUUCUAUUAAAUUAUGUCCUACCUGUUCCAAUAUCGUAUUUCUUCUUCGCCAUAUAUAUUAUCCUCACUGAAAACAUACAUAAAUAAUCAAAAUACAGGUAUAAAGUCCUCCUCUGGGACACUUUUCACUCGCGAUUUGAAUAUUUUCAACCACAUUUUAGUAGAAGCUACGGAAGUGACAUCGCUAGCGACAUCUGUGCGGUAUUUUCAAAAGGGCGGUAACCAUUUCACAUGUUACCUAUUCUGUAACUCCCUCCUAAAUCAAGAGAACCAUAAUCACUCCCGAUCGAUCGAUUUCCGAAUGGCAAUGACGACAACGGUAAAACGCGAGAAUUCCGAAUAUAUUUUGCGGGAAAUUUUAUAACAACAGACAACAACAACAAUAAUGGAUGAAGACCAGAAAUUCGCAUUCAAUUUGGCCGUUAAUGGCCAUAAUUUACUGAUUUCAGGCCAAGCAGGCACUGGACUACAUGAAAACAGAUAAAGUGUACAUAAUGUAUAUAUUGGAAGUGACUUAUUUUAUACCUUUACUUGAUUUUGUUGUGUUGGAGGUUGUGCUGUAUCACCACCAGUAUUUGAUUUUCUUGACACUGUUGUUUGGCCCAAGAUGACGGAGUUCAUUGCAUGACAGUAACCAAGUUCAUAAUUUUGCGCCAAAACAAUUACUUAAAAUAUAUUCGGAAUUCUCGCGUUUUACCGUUGUCGUCAUUGCCAUUCGGAAAUCGAUCGAUCGGGAGUGAUUAUGGUUCUCUUGAUUUAGGAGGGAGUUACAGAAUAGGUAACAUGUGAAAUGGUUACCGCCCUUUUGAAAAUACCGCACAGAUGUCGCUAGCGAUGUCACUUCCGUAGCUUCUACUAAAAUGUGGUUGAAAAUAUUCAAAUCGCGAGUGAAAAGUGUCCCAGAGGAGGACUUUAUACCUGUAUUUUGAUUAUUUAUGUAUGUUUUCAGUGAGGAUAAUAUAUAUGGCGAAGAAGAAAUACGAUAUUGGAACAG